rnacentral:rRNA from 1 species
UGUAUAAUGGGUCAGCGACUUAUAUUCUGUAGCAAGGUUAACCGAAUAGGGGAGCCGAAGGGAAACCGAGUCUUAACUGGGCGUUAAGUUGCAGGGUAUAGACCCGAAACCCGGUGAUCUAGCCAUGGGCAGGUUGAAGGUUGGGUAACACUAACUGGAGGACCGAACCGACUAAUGUUGAAAAAUUAGCGGAUGACUUGUGGCUGGGGGUGAAAGGCCAAUCAAACCGGGAGAUAGCUGGUUCUCCCCGAAAGCUAUUUAGGUAGCGCCUCGUGAAUUCAUCUCCGGGGGUAGAGCACUGUUUCGGCAAGGGGGUCAUCCCGACUUACCAACCCGAUGCAAACUGCGAAUACCGGAGAAUGUUAUCACGGGAGACACACGGCGGGUGCUAACGUCCGUCGUGAAGAGGGAAACAACCCAGACCGCCAGCUAAGGUCCCAAAGUCAUGGUUAAGUGGGAAACGAUGUGGGAAGGCCCAGACAGCCAGGAUGUUGGCUUAGAAGCAGCCAUCAUUUAAAGAAAGCGUAAUAGCUCACUGGUCGAGUCGGCCUGCGCGGAAGAUGUAACGGGGCUAAACCAUGCACCGAAGCUGCGGCAGCGACGCUUAUGCGUUGUUGGGUAGGGGAGCGUUCUGUAAGCCUGCGAAGGUGUACUGUGAGGUAUGCUGGAGGUAUCAGAAGUGCGAAUGCUGACAUAAGUAACGAUAAAGCGGGUGAAAAGCCCGCUCGCCGGAAGACCAAGGGUUCCUGUCCAACGUUAAUCGGGGCAGGGUGAGUCGACCCCUAAGGCGAGGCCGAAAGGCGUAGUCGAUGGGAAACAGGUUAAUAUUCCUGUACUUGG